GUGGGUGGUCUACUAGAAGGCCUUUUUGGAAGGCUGCCCUAGCUAUUAAGUCAUUGCAUCCGACUAUCCUUGCCUUCUCUGCUUUAAAUCUCCUCACAUAGUCACGAAGUGACUCUUUUGGGUUCUUUUUAAAGUCAAACAAAUAGUCGAACUUCUUUUUUAUCGAGCAAUAGGAUGAAUAUUCUUUGGUGAAAACCAAAGAAAGUUCGUAGAAAUUCCGAAUGGAUUGUGGCGGUAGGGUGUAGAACCAAUCUUGCGCCUGCCUUGUAGAGUGGUGGCGAAUAUCUUGCACAUGAGAUCAUCAUUGUUUCGAUAAAGGAUCAUUGCACUUCGGUAGUGUUUUAAGUCUCUCCGGGUCUUCAUCCCUUUUGAAAGAUG
rnacentral:lncRNA from 1 species